rnacentral:rRNA from 1 species
CCUACGGGAGGCAGCAGUGAGGAAUAUUGGUCAAUGGGAGAGAUCCUGAACCAGCCAAGCCGCGUGAGGGAAGACGGCCCUAUGGGUUGUAAACCUCUUUUGUCGGAGAACAAAACCCGGGACGUGUCCCGGACUGCGUGUAUCCGAAGAAAAAGCAUCGGCUAACUCCGUGCCAGCAGCCGCGGUAAUACGGAGGAUGCGAGCGUUAUCCGGAUUUAUUGGGUUUAAAGGGUGCGUAGGCGGUCCGUUAAGUCAGCGGGAAAAUUGCGGGGCUCAACCCUGUCGAGCCGUUGAAACUGGCAGACUUGAGUGGGCGAGAAGUACGCGGAAUGCGCGGUGUAGCGGCGAAAUGCAUAGAUAUCGCGCAGAACUCAGAUUGCGAAGGCAGCGUACCGGCGCCAGACUGACGCUGAGGCACGAAAGCGUGGGGAUCGAACAGGAUUAGAUACCCGGGUAGUC